UUAGAAAUAGAAUUUCAAAGAUU
rnacentral:snRNA from 1 species